AUUGAACGCUGGCGGCAUGCUUUACACAUGCAAGUCGAACGGUAACAGGGUGCUUGCACCGCUGACGAGUGGCGAACGGGUGAGUAAUGCGUCGGAACGUGCCGAGUAGUGGGGGAUAACGCAGCGAAAGUUGUGCUAAUACCGCAUACGUACUGAGGUAGAAAGUGGGGGACCUUCGGGCCUCACGCUAUUCGAGCGGCCGACGUCUGAUUAGCUAGUAGGUGAGGUAAAGGCUCACCUAGGCGACGAUCAGUAGCGGGUCUGAGAGGAUGAUCCGCCACACUGGGACUGCGACACGGCCCAGACUCCUACGGGAGGCAGCAGUGGGGAAGUUUGGACAAUGGGCGAAAGCCUGAUCCAGCCAUGCCGCGUGUCUGAAGAAGGCCUUCGGGUUGUAAAGGACUUUUGUCAGGGAGGAAAUCCCUAGUGCUAAUAACACUGGGGGAUGACAGUACCUGAAGAAUAAGCACCGGCUAACUACGUGCCAGCCGCCGCGGUAA
rnacentral:rRNA from 1 species